AAGGAGUGUCACCUCACAGAGAUUGACAUGCCCUGGAGUGGGAACCAGGCAGCAUGCCUGGCAACCUUGCUGGCCCCAAAACACAGCAUGUUCUUGUGAGGCACUGCGCUCCAGAGCAGACACGUUCCGUGGCAGCAUUGUCUUAGUGAUGGGGGACUCCUCUGUCCUCCUGACUGGUGGCCUGCUCCCAGAAGGAAGGAGGAGAAUAGAGGAGGAAAUUACUGCCUGAGCAGGUGGUGUCAGGAUCAAGGUUUUGGGUACCAUGAUCUUGGGCAUGCCUUUCAGAGACCAGGACUGAAAAGACACAAAGGUGUACAAGGAGAGGCUGGACUGUGCUCGAAUUUGUGAUCAUCCAGAUACAUGCAAACAUCUCAAGAAGAAAUCCAGAUUAUAAAUCCUGUGUAAACAUCUCACUUGCCAAUGUGGAGUCCCAGGAGCAUGCAUAUAUUGUUUUUAGUGUGACCGCACCGUGCAGCUGUAUGGAUCCUUCAGGGAUAGGAAGGAUGGGAAUUAUCUGACAUGUUUUCCAGAUACUUCAACAAGUUUGAAGUUCUUCAGACCUAAGAGCACCCAGUCUGUAAGUUAAUCAUUGAUAUGUCCUCAGCUGUUGGUGAAGACAAAGAUCUGUUGUAAAUUAAAGCAC